GGGAAAUGCUGUGGAUUUUCUAUUUUCCAUUUGUUUAGCAUUGAAUCAACACUAAAUAUUAUCAUCCUUGAACAAAACAUAAACCGUAACUCUGCUUCUAAUUUAUUGUAAUACAGAAUUGUUUAAUUCAAUCAAAGACUAUAAGAAAUAAAAUUUAAUUCGCAAAAGUUGUUUAGGUAAACCUGUAUGUAUUAAACAUACAUAUUAUAAACAGGCCAUUGAUAUGAGUGUUUUCAUUGGAUGAUAUAUUGGUGCUAUGCUCCUCCCAAUUUUGAGGUAAUAAUCAUUUCAUGGUUGAGCUAGCAAGGAAGCUAACCAAAGAAUCUACCUGUAGCUUCAUACUUGUUGGAAUCUGCUGUAGUUAGUUUUAUAUUUAAAUCUGUGUUACCUAUUCAAGAUCCUGUAUUCUGUAAUGCUAGUUUAUAUAAAAC
rnacentral:lncRNA from 1 species